AAUGGCGUCUCAAGGACCUUGCGA
rnacentral:miRNA from 1 species